rnacentral:tRNA from 1 species
GAGAGGCUGAGAGCAAUAAGGACUGCUAAUCCAUAUCACCAUGGUUAA